GUAAUGAUCUGGACACUGUCUCAACCGUGAGCUCGGUGAAAUUGUAGUAUCGGUGAAGAUGCCGAUUACCCGCGAUGGGACGAAAAGACCCCGUGAACCUUUACUAUAGCUUUACAUUGAGUUUGGGCAGACGAUGUGUAGGAUAGGCCGGAGGCUUUGAAGCAGGUACGCCAGUAUUUGUGGAGCCGACGUUGAAAUACGGCCCUUCGGUUGUUUGAGUUCUAACUCCUAGGCAGGAGGACACUGUAUGGUGGGUAGUUUGACUGGGGUGGUCGCCUCCAAAAGCGUAACGGAGGCUUCUAAAGGU
rnacentral:rRNA from 1 species